rnacentral:rRNA from 1 species
AAUGAACGCUGGCGGCAGGCCUAAUACAUGCAAGUAGAACGAGUGGCGGACGGGAGAGAAAUCUCUGGGAAACCGCCAGAGGGAGGGGGAUAACUAGUGGAAACGGUAGCAAACACCGCAACACCUCGGAUGCGCACAGAUGGGAUUAGCUAGUAGGUGGGGUAAAGGCUCACCGAGGCAACGAUCCAUAGCUGGUCUGAGAGGAUGACCAGCCACACUGGAACUGAGACACGGUCCAGACUCCUACGGGAGGCAGCAGGGGGGAAUAUUGCACAAUGGGCGCAAGCCUGAUGCAGCCAUGCCGCGUGUAUGAAGAAGGCCUUCGGGUUGUAAAGUACUUUCAGCGGGGAGGCGUUACCCGCAGAAGAAGCACCGGCUAACUCCGUGCCAGCAGCCGCGGUAAUAC